rnacentral:rRNA from 1 species
GGGGAGGUGCGCGGUGCUACACAUGCAGUCGAACGGUGAACCGGAGCUUGCUCUGUGGGAUCAGUGGCGAACGGGUGAGUAACACGUGAGCAACCUGCCCCUGACUCUGGGAUAAGCGCUGGAAACGGCGUCUAAUACUGGAUAUGUGACGUGACCGCAUGGUCUGCGUUUGGAAAGAUUUUUCGGUUGGGGAUGGGCUCGCGGCCUAUCAGCUUGUUGGUGAGGUAAUGGCUCACCAAGGCGUCGACGGGUAGCCGGCCUGAGAGGGUGACCGGCCACACUGGGACUGAGACACGGCCCAGACUCCUACGGGAGGCAGCAGUGGGGAAUAUUGCACAAUGGGCGAAAGCCUGAUGCAGCAACGCCGCGUGAGGGAUGACGGCCUUCGGGUUGUAAACCUCUUUUAGCAGGGAAGAAGCGAAAGUGACGGUACCUGCAGAAAAAGCGCCGGCUAACUACGUGCCAGCAGCCGCGGUAAUACGUAGGGCGCAAGCGUUAUCCGGAAUUAUUGGGCGUAAAGAGCUCGUAGGCGGUUUGUCGCGUCUGCUGUGAAAUCCCGAGGCUCAACCUCGGGCCUGCAGUGGGUACGGGCAGACUAGAGUGCGGUAGGGGAGAUUGGAAUUCCUGGUGUAGCGGUGGAAUGCGCAGAUAUCAGGAGGAACACCGAUGGCGAAGGCAGAUCUCUGGGCCGUAACUGACGCUGAGGAGCGAAAGGGUGGGGAGCAAACAGGCUUAGAUACCCUGGUAGUCCACCCCGUAAACGUUGGGAACUAGUUGUGGGGUCCAUUCCACGGAUUCCGUGACGCAGCUAACGCAUUAAGUUCCCCGCCUGGGGAGUACGGCCGCAAGGCUAAAACUCAAAGGAAUUGACGGGGACCCGCACAAGCGGCGGAGCAUGCGGAUUAAUUCGAUGCAACGCGAAGAACCUUACCAAGGCUUGACAUAUACGAGAACGGGCCAGAAAUGGUCAACUCUUUGGACACUCGUAAACAGGUGGUGCAUGGUUGUCGUCAGCUCGUGUCGUGAGAUGUUGGGUUAAGUCCCGCAACGAGCGCAACCCUCGUUCUAUGUUGCCAGCACGUAAUGGUGGGAACUCAUGGGAUACUGCCGGGGUCAACUCGGAGGAAAGGGG